rnacentral:rRNA from 1 species
UACAGAGGGUGCAAGCGUUGUUCGGAAUUACUGGGCGUAAAGCGCGCGCAGGCGGGAUGGCAAGUCGGACGUGAAAGCCCUCGGCUCAACCGGGGAAGUGCAUUCGAAACUGCUGUUCUUGAGUGUCGGAGAGGGUGGUGGAAUUCCCGGUGUAGAGGUGAAAUUCGUAGAUAUCGGGAGGAACACCAGUGGCGAAGGCGACCACCUGGACGAACACUGACGCUGAGGCGCGAAAGCGUGGGGAGCAAACAGG